GUGUGCGCGCGUGUGUGUGUGUUUCCUGCUACAGGUGCUUGGAUCUGCUCCUGCUCGCGUGAAGAAAUGGUGGAGAGCACCACACUGCGUGCCUGAACAGCAAAGAUCUGGAAGUAGACCACGAAUACUACAAGAGGAGAUAACUUGUUCUAGAUCAGAAACAUUUCUCAACUGCUGCUG